AACAAGGGGCUAAAAAUGCCUAUUGGAAAGCGGGUAGGCUUGAUAAAUAAAUAUUUACUGCUGGUAAUAGGCCUACUCCAUCCGCUAAUGCUUUGUGGGGUCAAAGGUGAUUGUAAAAUAGUCUUUAGUUUAAAAUGUGCGAUGUUUUUUUGCUAACAUUAGGCUACUCUCUUUUUCAGAAAAAGAGGUGGGCAAGAAAAUCCACUCCCUCCGGACUCAGUACAACCGGUACAGCAAGGCACCAGCUCCGGGGAGUGGGAGAACUGGCAGGCAGGACUGGGUACUCAGGAGGCUCUCUUUCCUGGAGCCAUAUAUCAGGAAGAGAGCUUCUUCGUCCAACGUGGAUGAAAAGAUUGUUGAAAGAGAGAGUGAUGAUGUGGAGGGACUGGACGAGGAAGAGGACGUGGAAGUAGAGGAGAGCAGUGAACCUGAGGGACAAGGCAGCACCGCCUUGUCCCUCAGGUUCAGAAGGUCGCAGGCAGUAAAAGAAAGAGGCAAACAGAAAAGCAAGAAGAUGAGGUCCUAAGUGCAGUUGGCAAUUUUCUGAGAAACAGGACGGAACAGAGGGAGGAGGACACAAUGUCAGUCUUUUGUAAGAACCUCGAGAUGAAAAUGAGGCGAAUCAAGGACCCAAAUAUUUUAUUAGAUUUAGAGCACCAGCUGGAGGAAGCCUGCUACCAGGCUUCACUUAAAGAUAGAGACAACCAAGCCCCCCCCACCCAAGCCUCUCACACCUACCCUUACCCUUAUUACCCCCAAACAUAUCAGUCACUUUGAAUUCGGCCAUUUUAUAUUAAUCUCUAAAUUUGUUUUAUUAAUUUUUAGAUAUUUAAUUGGUUAUUGCAAAUUUGAAUCGCCCCUUCUCUUACCUUCGCCUCAUUUUCAUCUCGAGGUGCUGAUUUUAUGGAUUUUUUGUAUAUAUUUGAUAUAGGCUAUAUAUUUAUUUAUUAUUUUAUUUAUAUUUAUAUGUAUAUAUAUUAUAUUUUGUAUAUAUUUGCUUCGCUUGUCUAUGUUUUACUGAAACUUUUGAUUAUUUAAACUAAUAACAUAUGUAUAAUAAAUAAUUGAUUUAUAUUUGUCUAUUUUGUCUAUAAAUUAUUAACAUUUGAUCUAAACUGUAUCUUAUGCUGAACAUUAUUAGGCCGGGUGUUCUCUUUAAUUGAUGUGAGGCUGUCAUGCGCAGUUUUAGUUUUGAUGACGGCUUCACUAGCACGGGAGCACGCAUUUUUCAGUUAACCUUUGAAACUGGAUUACAUUUCAUGUAACUUUAAACAGCAGACCUCAUUGACAUGUGAGUAAAAUGUUAAAGAGGUCUGCUGUUUAAAGUAGAUGAGGUGUAUCAAGAAUACUUGGUAAACUCAUUGAUAUUGGAUUUUGAAGUAUUUUCUUUUCUUUUUUGUAACAACAAUUGAUAGCCUACAUUAACCAAAAGUAAAAAGUUUCACUAAAUGCUAUUUUACACACGAUAAAGAACUUGCCUUCAGGUAGUCAUCCUUUAGGACACUGUAGAUUGCGCUGCAUGUUGCCGGAAUGAUCUCUGCAACAGUAGAGUGACCCAUGCGGAACAGGUAGGCCAGGCUCUUGAAGCUCUCGCCUAUAGAGAAAGUGUAUUUUAUUGUGGUUGACAUGAGACUUAUAAAUGACAAGCCAAUAUAUGAGUAUGCAUUUUGACAGCAGCACUAUAUGAUUGGUAGUAUGUAGUAUAGGCUGUUAACGUGCAUAGAUAGAUAUACUGUCAGUAGGCCUAUAUAUAUCUAUGGUUAACGCGCGCUUGUUGCGCUCAUCUGUUGACAUUUACAAAUGCCUUGCAGUUUUUAAGCGCAACUGUAAAUAUGACAGUAUGUUCACUCACCUGUUGCCAAGAAGCGGAGAGUUAUCAUAAGUCUCUCGCCAGCUGAAAUGCAGUCCCGGUAAUUGGUGUUCGUCUUCUGAAUUAAAGGCCUCACCAGAUCCUCCAGAUGAUGGAAUAGGACCGGGGACAGGCGUGUAAAAUUGGUGAAAGCUGACAUAUCCCCGACUUCCAGCUCUCUACACAGAUUGGCGUAGGCACCCUGUUUCUGCCGCUGAAGUACCCAACUGCGGCUCCAUAUUCUUUGCUUUAUAACUCGCCGUCUUCUCCUUUUCAUGAUUAAAGCCACAGCAAAAACUGCGACCAUUUCACUCUCACUAACAUAAUUAGGCCUGUUUAUAAUUAAGUUAUCCAUCUCCAAGUAGUUGAGCCGAUGGUGAACUAAUAAGACAGAUCAAUCUGAAAUUCAACUAACGGAAAAUGCAAUGUAUCCAACAACGGGUAAUCUAAACUAACUGUAAACUCCAGCUAUUUACUCAAAUGCAGAUGUAGUGGAGAAUGACAAAACAUAGUAACUCUAGCCUACUCUCAAGUAAAAUAAAAAUAAAACUAAUUGCAAACCUAA